UCCAGCGUGGUAUAAUGGUUUGGAUGCUAGACUAGAACACUGGAGGCGAGGGUUCGAAUCCCCACUCAGCCA